rnacentral:rRNA from 1 species
GACGAACGCUGGCGGCGUGCUUAACACAUGCAAGUCGAACGGACAGGCCCUGCUUUUGUGGGGUGCUCGUGUGGCGAACGGGUGAGUAACACGUGUGUAACCUCCCCCUGUCUUUGGGAUAUCUUCAGGAAACUGGGGCUAUUACCGCAUAGGAGCUCCUGCUGCAUGUUGGGGGUUGGAAAGUUUCGGCGGUUGGGGCUGGACUCGCGGCUUACCCGCUUGAUGGUGGGGUAGUGGCUUACCAAGGCUUUGACGGGUAGCCGGCCUGAGAGGGUGACCGGCGACAUUGGGACUGAGAUACGGACCAGACUCGUACGGGCGGCAGCAGUGGGGAGUAUUGCACAAUGGGCGGAAGCCUGAUGCAGCAGCGCCGCGUGCGGGAUGACGGCCUACGGGUUGUAAACCGCUUUCGCAGGUGACGAAGCGUGAGUGACGGUAAUGGGUAAAGAAGCACCGGCUAACUACGUG